rnacentral:misc_RNA from 1 species
UGCAUUUCAGUUGAUAGCCAAAUGCUAUUAAGAUGUGGAAAACGUUGUUUGAUCCGAUCACCAUGCUGCAUGUACUCUUCAAAUUCAACCAACUCCAUUUCACAUGCCUUGUCUGCCAUUGUUACAUGCAUGCUUAUCAUUGGCCUAGGGAUCCAUGGUUUGUAGUUAGACCACACAAAUGCUUGAAUAUCUGACUUUGCCUUGUUUCCGACUUCCUGGCAUGAGAGCGCCAUUAUGAGACUGGUCGUUAGGAAAGAGAAUUAUUUUUAAGUGUG